AAAAAGUCGUUCUUCUCUGUUAUGGCAUCUAGGAAAGCUAAAACUCCAAGAUUUCUUGAAGUAAAGAAAAUGGAAAUGGCGUGGUGGUCUUCCAAGGCUUUUAUUUUUCUUCUACAAUUGAUGCUGGACAACAUUCAAAAUCUUAGACAGUUGACUUCAUGAAGUUGCUUUUGGGGCGGCUGAAAAUCAGAUGAUCUGGUUAUAUGAGCUUCUGAGGCAAAAUGGCUGAGAUCAGAUGUGAUGCUGAUAUAUAUAUGAUCUUUCAAGGCAAAAUCUGGUAGAUGGUAAGAAGAGCUGUUUAAAAUAUCAUU